rnacentral:ncRNA from 2 species
UAUUAGGGCGCGGGGUGUUGGGAGACCGACUGAGAAAUACCCGUCGAACUUGAACUGAUUAAUAUCAGCGUAAGGACGCUAUAGGAGUUAUCG